ACAGAUGGGAGCUUGCUCCCUGAUGUUAGCGGCGGACGGGUGAGUAACACGUGGGUAACCUGCCUGUAAGACUGGGAUAACUCCGGGAAACCGGGGCUAAUACCGGAUGGUUGUCUGAACCGCAUGGUUCAGACAUAAAAGGUGGCUUCGGCUACCACUUACAGAUGGACCCGCGGCGCAUUAGCUAGUUGGUGAGGUAACGGCUCACCAAGGCGACGAUGCGUAGCCGACCUGAGAGGGUGAUCGGCCACACUGGGACUGAGACACGGCCCAGACUCCUACGGGAGGCAGCAGUAGGGAAUCUUCCGCAAUGGACGAAAGUCUGACGGAGCAACGCCGCGUGAGUGAUGAAGGUUUUCGGAUCGUAAAGCUCUGUUGUUAGGGAAGAACAAGUGCCGUUCAAAUAGGGCGGCACCUUGACGGUACCUAACCAGAAAGCCACGGCUAACUACGUGCCAGCAGCCGCGGUAAUACGUAGGUGGCAAGCGUUGUCCGGAAUUAUUGGGCGUAAAGGGCUCGCAGGCGGUUUCUUAAGUCUGAUGUGAAAGCCCCCGGCUCAACCGGGGAGGGUCAUUGGAAACUGGGGAACUUGAGUGCAGAAGAGGAGAGUGGAAUUCCACGUGUAGCGGUGAAAUGCGUAGAGAUGUGGAGGAACACCAGUGGCGAAGGCGACUCUCUGGUCUGUAACUGACGCUGAGGAGCGAAAGCGUGGGGAGCGAACAGGAUUAGAUACCCUGGUAGUCCACGCCGUAAACGAUGAGUGCUAAGUGUUAGGGGGUUUCCGCCCCUUAGUGCUGCAGCUAACGCAUUAAGCACUCCGCCUGGGGAGUACGGUCGCAAGACUGAAACUCAAAGGAAUUGACGGGGGCCC
rnacentral:rRNA from 1 species